AUUUGCUAAAACAGUACGUGAAUCAAAUUGAAAGGGUUGUGUACAUAUUUGUUUCUCGUAUUUCAAUACAGUAGCGUUACUUUUAAUCUAACUUUAGCACUAUAGUAGUUGGUGAACAUUGCAAACGAAACUAGGAAAUGUUCGAUUUAAAGUAUCUCACGUGCAUGUAAAAUAAUAAAGGUGAGAUUCGACGAACAAUAAAAGAUUUGAUAUUCAUUCUAUAAUAAGAUAUUGAACGUGUUCGAAAUGAAAAAUGGCGAUUAAACGUUGAGAUUGGCAGAUAGACACUGGUUGAAACAAAUCAAAAGUGUGUUGCAUAGCGACGUGUUCUAAAGAUAUACGUGUGUCAUAGGUAUUUAACAUGAAAGUGACUGCAUAACGGACGGUUGAGCGUAAAAAGAAAUUCACGUUUUCGCAUAUCGGUAUCGUUCCCGAUGAGAUGAAUUGUUAAAUACUGGUUUAAGCAGAUUGUUCGAAGAACCAAAAUCGUCAAAGCUCUGUUUAGAACGUAUUAGCCGUGAGUCAGUAGCGCGAUAUUUUCGCUGGAAAUUACCAGGUAAAGGGAUGCAGCUUGUUACGGAACACUGGGAAAGCUCGUCACGAGGCCGGCCACGUCACGUAAAUCGUAUUGCGCGUGAUGUGCAACAACAAGUAAGGUGUAUGACGGGCUGAAAUUAGUAGCGAAAGCAAGCCUUGGCACUGCGCCGAAAAUACAUGGCAAUUUUAUUUCGGCGCGCCAUGGGAGACAGGAAAAAAGAGAGCCGACCAACACCAUA